GAGGACCUCACGUAACAAGAAUCCCACAUAACAAGAGAGUUGGAGAUUAGGGUGGUGCUUCUACAAACCAACGGGAUGCCAAUAAUUGCUGACAACCACCAAAGCCUAGGAAGAGGCAUGGAAGGAUUCUUCUCUAGAGCCUUCAGAGCCACCCAGUCUGUGGUACUUUGUCAUGGCAAACAUGGAAAAUGAAUACAAUAUGGAUACUACCAAAAACAGUGAACCUACCACUGUCACAGAACCUUUCCUUCCGAAGUGGACGCCAGCCCACCAAUUCUGAACUCCCACUUCCAAACGCAUAAUUAUCACUUUUGGACUUUAACAGGAUAAUCCUUCUUUGUGACACCUCAUCUGCUCAUUUAAGAGAGAAAAGCCACUCACUAAGCCAAGGGAAUUGCCAGAUGAAAUGACCUUCCAAGAGUUCCUCUUGAAAUUCCUAAAGAUUUCCUUAUUUAUAAUCAAGUCAAAAUUAAUUUAGACACUAACUUACCACUGCCUUAUGUUUAAAUUAACCCCAAAUGGAGGUACUCUGGACUGCUUUGGGACAAAGAAUUCCAAUGACAGUAGCAGAAUUAUUGGAGUUGAACUCAUUAAGGACUGAUCCACAUACCUUGAAAUUUCCCAGUAACCUCAAAGACCAGAAAGCAAAGACAUAAAGACUUGUAAUGCAAAUUAUGAUAAAAAAUGAAUCACGCCUUACAGGAAUCUGAGAUUACAGGAAUUGUGCAGGAUUUCUGAAGUAUAAACACAAAUAGGCAUACCUGAUUUUUCAGUGGUAGCAAGCCCCAAUACUAUCCUAUCCUUAAUGCCACCUGAAGCCACUUUCUUUAGUCAUAGACCUGUCCACUGCCUUCUUUAGCACCCUCUAGAUCAGGACACCAGUGCCUGUUUAUUGAGCUUGGUAAGAGAUAAAGUGGUAAGAAAGUACUUAUACUAGUGCAGGAUUCCUCUCUUAUAUGGAUUAUAUCAGGAAAAGUUGGUCUCCUUGACUAUGGAUCUACCUGCUGAUCUCUACUGUGUAUCUCACUGUCUAGUGCUCGCCUACCCUUGUUGACUUGUGUCAAACCUGUAAGACACAAUCAGACAACCUCAUAAGGGUAUUUGGGCCAAAAGUGGGUCACUGGAUGGCCCCAAUGACUGUUAAUGGAUUUGUUCUGCAAAUAAAAAAAAAAGAAGAAAGGAAGGGAAAGGAAAGGAAAGGAAAGGAAGGGAAAGGAAGGGAAAGGAAGGGAAAGGAAGGGAAAGGAAGGGAAGGGAAGGGAAGGGAAGGGAAAGGAAAGGAAAGGAAAGGAAAGGAAAGGAAAGGAAAGGAAAGGAAAGGAGGGAAGAAACCAACUUGUUAGGUACUGCUCACAAAUUAAACAGGGACUUAGCAUCUCAAUAAACUGAUGCCCACUGUCAAGAAAUUCCCUGAUAUCCCUGUGGAUCCAUUUGGCUUACUCAUUUUCCCUCUUAAGAAAAAGCAGUCUUUAGACCUCCUACUUCAAAGAAUAGAAAAUCUGAAACCUCAAAUUUUAACUCCAACAGAAAAUUCUGGGCUGCUUUAUUCUGUCCUCAGGCAUACCCAUCUCACACUUUAAAGAAGGUCCCAAAUGUGGUGCCAAAAACUCUACAUGCUGUGGUUCAGAGAUUGACAGCAGAACCUGACAGUGCCACUAAGGCUAAGGAUCUUCUUGCCUGAGAAAUUCAUAAGAUUGCACAGGCAGUAGGAUAAAACAGAGCCAUCCUCGACAUAUUACUGCCUUCUCAAGGCAGACCAUGUGCCAUCUUAAGGAAAAAAUGUACUCCCAUCCCUAUGGAAAUCUGUUCUUUGAUGGUUAAUGUUAAUUAAAGAGAUCUGGAAACAAA